AUGCAAGUCGAACGGCAAGAGGUAGCAAUACCUCCUAGAGUGGCGGACUGGUGAGUAACACGUGGGUGACAUACCCUUCAGAUGGGGAUAGCUAUUAGAAAUAGUAGAUAAUACCGAAUACGAGCACAGGGGUUAGAGAUCUGUGAGGAAAGGAGCUAAGGCUCCGCUGAAGGAAUGGCCUGCGGCCCAUUAGCUAGUUGGUGAGGUAAGAGCCCACCAAGGCGAUGAUGGGUAUCCGGCCUUAGAGGGUGAACGGACACAUUGGGACUGAGAUACGGCCCAGACUCCUACGGGAGGCAGCAGCUAAGAAUAUUCCGCAAUGGACGAAAGUCUGACGGAGCGACGCCGCGUGGAUGAAGAAGGCCGGAAGGUUGUAAAAUCCUUUUGAAACUGAAGAAUAAGCGUUGUAGGGAAUGACAGCGUGGUGACAGUAGGUUUUGAAUAAGCAACGGCUAAUUACGUGCCAGCCGCCGC
rnacentral:rRNA from 1 species